UAGGGAGUUUAGACGGGAACCAACUGAACUGAAACAUCUUAGUAGGUUGAGGAAGAGAAAGUAAAUAACGAUACCGGGAGUAGUGGCGAGCGAAACUGGUAGAGCCCAAACCUUACAAGUUCUAAGUAUCUUAACCUGAUCAAUCAGCCCUAGUGGGUGAUUGGACAGGCCUAAGAUACCUAGUACGGCUGAUAGGCCAAUGCUUAUAAGGGGUUGUGAUAUUUCACAUGACCAAGUCAGAGAACUGAAUUUCGAUUCAGGUAUCUGAUUUGCGAUAGCCAGCUAUCACUGAGCUAGUAAGGUAAAAAAUCGGCGUGGUUAGCAGAAUAACUUGAAUGGUUAACCAAAGGACGUGAAAGUCGUGUACGCGAAAACGACGCUGACCUUAUGUGUGUUUUAUCGAGUAGGGCGGGGCACGAGAAACCCUGUCUGAAUCCGGCUGGACCACCAGCCAAGGCUAAAUAUGAUAUACGAUCGAUAGCGAACUAGUACCGCGAGGGAAAGGUGAAAAGAACCCCGGGAGGGGAGUGAAAUAGAUCCUGAAACUUUGUGCCUACAAGGAGUCGGAGCAGAUUUAUUCUGUGACGGCGUGCUUUUUGUAGAACGAUCCAGCGAGUUAAUUUUCAAGGCAAGGUUAAGUCAUGUGACGGAGCCACAGUGAAAGCGAGCCUGAAUAGGGCGAAUUAGUCUUGAGGAUUAGACCCGAAACCGGGUGACCUAACCAUGGGCAGGCUGAAGCUACUGUAACAGGUAGUGAAGGGCCGAACCGUAGAGCGCAGCAAAGCUCCCGGAUGACCUGUGGUUAGCGGUGAAAUGCCAAUCGAACUCGGAGAUAGCUGGUUCUCCUCGAAAUAGCUUUAGGGCUAGCGUCGCGUAAUUCGUACAUGGGGGUAGAGCUCUGUAAAGGACUGGGGCUGGCAACGGUACCCACCCUUAACAAACUACGAAUACUAUUUGUGUAAUCGCGGCAGUUAGAACGUCGGGGCUAAGCUCGGCGCUCGAAAGGGAAACAGCCCAGACCAUCGUCUAAGGUCCCUAAAUUUACACUCAGUGGGAAACAAGGUGAGAUUUCUUAAACAGCGAGGAUGUUGGCUUAGAAGCAGCCAUUCAUUUAAAGAGUGCGUAACAGCUCACUCGUCAAGAGAUUUUGCGUGGAAAAUGUAACGGGGCUAAAGUGUAAUACCGAAGACAUGGAUUUGCAGUUUACUGCAAGUGGUAGAGGAGCGUUCCUAUCUGCGGUGAAGCAGCACUGGAAAGUGUUGUGGAGCGUUAGGAAGUGAGAAUGCUGGAAUGAGUAACCAUAAGACAGGUGAGAAUCCUGUCGGCCGUAAGAGCAAGGUUUCCUGAGCCAUGGUAAUCAUCUCAGGGUUAGUCGGGCCUAAGCCGAGGCGCAUAGCGUAGGCGAUGGACAUCAGGUUAAUAUUCCUGAACCGGCGUAGUUUGUACACUGUUCACGGCGAGAUAUUCGGAGCGGAUUCAUGGUAUGUAUCCGUCCAACCUAGGGGGAACCCGAUGGGAGUGAAAGUGAGUCUUCGGACUUACGAUUCUGGAAAAGGCGCUGGCUAGAAAAGCAGGUGUACGCGUGACUAUGUCCGCCCGUACCGCAAACCAACACAGGUGCUCGAGUCGAGUAGACUCAGGCUUACGAGAGACCCUUCGCUAAGGAACUCGGCAAUACAGCGACCGUAACUUCGGGAUAAGGUCUGCCCCCUCUUCUUUGAAGAGGAAUGCCGCGUACACUCAGCAAGAGUAACGGUUAAAAGGUGUGUCUAACUAACACACAAUGAGUACGUUCUAGUUCUUCGGAACUAUGAAUGACAAAUCCUUUUUAGAACCAAAUAGAUUUUUUCUGAGAUAAGUAACAAAUGAUUUUGUUCUUUUGUACGCGCGAAACUUCGUCUUUACAGAUGAGGGGGCCGCAGCAAAAGAGCCCACGGAACUGUUUAUCAAAAACACAGGUCUCUGCUAACACGAAAGUGGAUGUAUAGGGGCUGACUCCUGCCCGGUGCUGGAAGGUUAAGGGGAGCGCUUCACGGUGCGAACUGAAGCCCCAGUGAACGGCGGCGGUAACUAUAACCGUCCUAAGGUAGCGAAAUUCCUUGUCAGGUAAGUUCUGACCCGCACGAAUGGAGUAAUCAUGUGGGCACUGUCUCAGCGAAGGCCUCGGUGAAAGUGCAUUGGCGGUAAAGAUGCCGUCUGUCCGUACCAGGACGAGAAGACCCCAUGGAGCUUUACUACAGCUUUACAUUGAUCCGGGUUACAACAUGUGUAGCAUAGGUGGGAGCCUUUGAAGCAGAUACGCCAGUAUCUGUGGAGGCACAGGUGAAAUACCACCCUUGUUGUGAUCUUGAUCUCACCGUGACCGUUAUCCGGUUACGGGACCGUGUAUGGUGGGUAGUUUAACUGGGGCGGUUGCCUCCUAAAGAGUAGCGGAGGCGUUCAAAGGUUGGCUAGCUUCGGAUGGAAAUCGAAGUGAUAGUGUAUGCGCAUAAGCCAGCUUGACUGUGAGGAGGACAUUCCAAGCAGAGACGAAAGUCGGAGCAAGUGAUCCGCUGUACGUACAUUUGUACAUGAACGUGGGAUCGACAGCGCAAACGGAUAAAAGUUACCCUGGGGAUAACAGGCUUAUAGCGCCCAAUAGUUCACAUAGACGGCGCUGUUUGGCACCUCGAUGUCGGCUCAUCACAUCCUGGAGGGGGAGCACCUUCCAAGGGUUCGGCUGUUCGCCGAUUAAAGUGGUACGCGAGCUGGGUUCAGAACGUCGUGAGACAGUUCGGUUUAUAUCCGGUACGGACGUGGAAAUUUGAGAAGAUCUACCCCUAGUACGAGAGGACCGGGGCGGACGAACCUCUGGUGUAUCGAUUGUGGCCACCUGCUGCAUUGUCGAGUAGCUAUGUUCGGAAUAGAUAAGCGCUGAAAGCAUAUUAAGCGCGAAACUAACUUCAAGAUUAGAUUUCUUUAUGAGGACACUGAAAGA
rnacentral:rRNA from 1 species